AAUCCUUCACCCUGGAUUAAGUUCCGGGUGGACCAGCCUUAGGGGCUCUAAACCUACGUAAUGCCGCAUCGUCUCUUUGGAGGCGUUGCGGUACUCGUUACUUCAAACCAUUGUGAACCCUCCCGUUGCUUCGGCGGCAUGCCUCAUGCAGUCAGCCCGUCCGAGGCCCAACAUAAACCAUUCAGUAAACUUCUGUCAGUAUACGAAAAGUAAAUCGUUAAAACUUUCAACAACGGAUCUCUUGGUUCU
rnacentral:misc_RNA from 1 species